CUGUGCUGAUGAGCAGCGAUUGUAUCCGACCUGGUAUUGCCGUUUCUCCGGGAACAGCUCUGACCAGGGUCUGAGGACAGUAAUCUUCUCUCUGAGCAG